UUUGGCUGCCAUAAUGUGUCCCUGUGGUGUUUUGUACAGCUUAAAGUUUAACAUCCGAGCAGAAGGCCCUAGAGACUUUGCAGAUAUGCUUCUGUCGUGGAAACAUAUGCCCAAUAUAUCAGUCUAUGACUUUGCACGAGGUCUUGUAAACCACACCAAUGUGAGAGUGCCAGAAAAUCCACCAUUCCAGCCAAAUGAAGGCCGUCUUGCUCCUCCAACCCCUGAGAACAUACAGGCCGCCAAAGACCGAACACUGAAGAUCCACCUUUUGUGGCUUUUGGAGCCAAACACUGAAAACCUUGAAGAUGAUUGUCAUCCGGUUACCAAAUCCUCUCAACAUUAUGUCUUAUGUGACAAGCUACAUGAAGGAAACAGCAAGGAUGAGAAGGACAUUCUCAGGAGGAUUGAACUUGUACCGGAGCUUGCUGGUCAGCUCAACAGCCAAGUAGCUGAACAGUUCUUUGCAAAGAUGCGGAAGAACACUAUUUCAUUAACAAUAUGUUGCCUUCAGCUCACAUUUUCUUGGUGCGAAACAUUGUUCAUCACCACAAUGAAAAAAAAGACAGACAAACCAUUGAGAAGAUGAAAGAAAUGUGAGGAUUGCCAGUAUCACUCUGGACACACUUGGGAAAGCAGUAGCAGCUCCACAGACUUCACUGGGCACUCAGACUUUAUUGGAACCCACAAGAAAUGUUGCUGGACCAAUCACCGAAAGGGAGACUUUCCUGUGUGACAUACAGCCACAGAGUUCAUGCUGGGAUUUGAAACCUAGUUCACUACAAAAAGAUAUGGUAGGUUUGAUUUCACUCUGUACAUACACAAAGCUGGUACUCUUAAUUUACGUGUGUGUGUGUGUGUGUGUGUGUGUGUGUGUGUAGCUGAAAUAUGUCUUGGACCCCAAAAGAAAUCCAGAUGAAACAAUUAUACGAACCCAGUUUACCAAAGUACAGCAAGUUACCUUGCAACGCAGAGACUUUUUGACUCUGGGCUUGGCACGGGAGUUGGAGGUCACAAUAGCAAAUUGCUGUUUUCAAAUAAUCACCCAAAUAGCACAGUCACAGAAUGAUUUGGCAAACAAAGAUUUUGUCCUCAUACCUAUUUGGAAACCAGGACACUACAUGCUCUGUGUUUUGAAGCUGAGCGAGAGACACAUUCUUUUCCUAGACUCCUUAUUCCAUAAACAUCCGGAAGCCUCAGUUG